GGGAUUUCUUUGACCGCAUGAAUAAAAUCCUCCAGAAACAGGAUAGUCUGCUGUCUGCUGGCCAAACUGAGGAGGAGAGCAGCUGUGCUCCUCCACCCCCAGAGUGCAAAGACCAGGCUUGUGUUCCUGAGAGAUCCACCAGGGAUGAGCUGGAUUUGUUGUAUGAGGAGGCGAUCUACACCGUGGUCAAUCGCGUUGGGGUGCCGUCGCCAGAAUAUGUUACCAACGAAGGGGACAUUUUCAAUUACCUGCAGAAGGUGCUACUUUGUU
rnacentral:lncRNA from 1 species